CCCUUAGAUGUCCUGGGCCGCACGCGCGCUACACUGAGUGUCUGAGAUACGAGUCUGCCUAGCCGGCGAGGUCUAGGUAAUCGCUGAAAGACACAUCAUGCUUGGGAUAGAUUAUUGCAGAUAUUAAUCUUGAACGAGGAAUUCCUAGUAAGCGCAAGUCAACAGCUUGCGUUGAUUACGUCCCUGCCCUUUGUACACACCGCCCGUCGCUACUACUGAUUGGAUGUUAAAGCGAGGUUCUCGAACUGCUAGCGACUUAGCUUCGGUGAGGUCGCCGUGCGGGAAGUGAACCGAGCUUUGGUGUCUAGAGGAAGUAAAAGUCGUAUCA
rnacentral:rRNA from 1 species